rnacentral:rRNA from 1 species
UACACACCGCCCGUCACACCAUGGGAGUCAGUUGCUCCAGAAACGGCUGCGCUAACCCGCAAGGGGGCAGGUCUUUAAGGAGUGACUGGUAACUGGGUG